GCACCAACUGCCACCGAAAUGAGCGCCGGAGCGGCCUCAAGGGGAAGGGACAGGAGUAGAGGGAUGGAGGAGCAUAAAGUGUUUACAUGAAAGGAGAUAAUAAGGCCUCUCUAAGUCAAGAAGGAAACAAUUCUGCAUCUAUCAAAAAACAGAGAACUACAUUUCAGACAAACAGGGAUAUAGAGAGACAGUCAUCCAAGCUUCAAGGAGCAAUUUGA
rnacentral:lncRNA from 1 species